UACGUAGGGUGCAAGCGUUGUCCGGAAUUAUUGGGCGUAAAGAGCGCGUAGGCGGUCUGUCGCGUCUGAUGUGAAAACCCGGGGCUUAACCCCGGGCCUGCAUUCGAUACGGGCAGACUCGAGUGUGGUAGGGGAGACUGGAACUCCUGGUGUAGCGGUGAAAUGCGCAGAUAUCAGGAGGAACACCAAUUGCGAAGGCAGCUCGCUGGGACGUUACUGACGCUGAGACGCGAAAGCGUGGGGAGCAAACAGG
rnacentral:rRNA from 1 species